CCCAGGAUGGCCGAGUGGUUAUGGCAUCAGACUGUUGUUCUCUGCAGAAGAAAUGUUUCGCAAUCGCAGGUUCGAAUCCUGCUCCUGGGA